UUCAUUUUCCCGCGAUUUCACCUGCCUAUAAAUAGCUCGAAAAAGCAAAAUCUCUUCAUUCUCACCCAUUCAAGGCCGCGAGCAAGGAGAGAGGAGGAGAGGAGAAAUUUUCACGAAAACUUGACCAAUCUUCGUGCAGUUCGUCCCUACUUCUAGGUAUCGAGGUUCGCAAUUUCCAUGCCCAACUUCUACUCACGAAGGCGAUGGAGAUCCUUCCGCCGAGGCAUAGCUACUCGAGUUGGAGAUCGAGUUGUAAGCGGUGGAGUAGAGUUAUGAGAAGCAGCUUUGCUUCUCUUCUUGUGGAUUAUGUUGGAGUCUCUUUUACUUUAUGAGAACUCUGUUAUUAAAGUCUUGCUUCCGCCACUGUUAAAGUGCGCAUGUUUAUUCUGAACCUUACUUAUGGUAUUGUAAACUAUUAUUACUGUAUAUCGGGAAACAAGUUAUCUAAAUAAAGUUAUGGUAUGUUUCCAACC